UACAGAGGUGGCAAGCGUUGUUCGGAAUUACUGGGCGUAAAGGGCGAGUAGGCGGCCUUCUAAGUCAGACGUGAAAUCCCCCGGCUUAACCUGGGAACUGCGUCUGAUACUGGGAGGCUAGAGUAUGGGAGAGGAAGGUAGAAUUCCAGGUGUAGCGGUGAAAUGCGUAGAUAUCUGGAGGAACACCGGUGGCGAAGGCGGCAUCCUGGACCAACACUGACGCUGAGGAGCGAAAGCCAGGGGAGCAAACGGG
rnacentral:rRNA from 1 species